CGCGGCCUCUGCCGGGAGACCUACACGCCAGGGUGUGGAGGGAGCAGGGGGGGGCGGCCGCGCUGAGCGCCCGGAGGAGCCCGCCUCGCAAGCUGGGGUCGCGGGGACAAAGUCAGGGCUCGGUAUGGAGUCCUGUGUGGAACCUACCAUGCUGAAGGAUGAUGGAUGGAGCAGUCACUGAGGAGCGCUUGGAGGGCCGCUGCCCAUGUGCCUACCCAGGUACACACGAAGGACUUGCCCACAGUUGCCGCACACGAAGGAGUGCAACCGCUGGCUAUGUGGGUGCCCCAAUGAGUGAGCCGUUUCCACCAAUGGCCGAAGGCCCCGUGCACUCCCUGGGGCUUCUCACUGCCGGGUCCUCUGGUGCUCGAUAAGGAUUACCAAAAUUGGGACUUCUUGUGCCCAUGGGUGCACUGUUGUUGAAGGAGCUUCAAGCUCUUGCAGAAAAGUUCUGCUCUGGCUCCACAGAAAGGGCCUCUCCUCAGAAUGAAUUAUCCGGUUUCUGCCCACCACACAAAGGCCUUAUUGCUGUUGAGGCAGGCAUGAGUCUGCUUGCACUCAGGGGGUUGGAGCCCCAAUUGAAGGACCCCUUCGGUCAAGUGGCUGGGCCCUUUGGGGUCUGGCUAGAGGGAACAUCCCCUUGGAGGCAGAGACCUCAUCAGGAGGUAAGGAGCUCCAUGCUGCCCCAUUAUCCUCCCACCAGCCAGCUUGGGUGAGCAACCACAGUGUUCGCUGCCUCUGGCAAGCCAACCAAAACAAGUCCACGUCCCAGCUAGACUCCAGGGUCUAGGUUUAGGAGGCGACAAACAGGAGGGGGAUGUGUAGGGCCGGCACAAGAUCUUCGAGUUGGCCACAUGGUCAAGGGUGGGGCACCCACUACCCCCGUGCCGACCCCCCUGCACCCGUCCAUUGAUCUCGCAUCAACGCAUGGCCGAGAUGCAUCAAACAGUGGGGUUUGCCCCCCAAGCCACCUGCUGGGCACAGCACCUGGUCCCACGUCCGGAGCUCCUCCCCUACCCUCAAGCUAUGAAGAGGCGGCUGGAGCUGCAGGGGUCGAAGAGAAAUGAUGGGGGUACCCUGGCAUGGGGUGAAGAGAGGUCAAACCGGAAAGGGUCUCCUCUGGGAGGCUCAGGCCCGCAGCAACCCCGGGCGUGCAAGCGUGCGGGAGGCCGAC